UACGGAGGGUGCAAGCGUUACUCGGAAUCACUGGGCGUAAAGCGCGCGCAGGCGGCUAGAUAAGUUGGAAGUGAAAUCCUAUGGCUCAACCAUAGAACUGCUUCCAAAACUGUUUAGCUAGAGUCUGGGAGGGGAAGAUGGAAUUAGUAGUGUAGGGGUAAAAUCCGUAGAGAUUACUAGGAAUACCAAAAGCGAAGGCGAUCUUCUGGAACAGUACUGACGCUGAGGCGUGAAAGCGUGGGGAGCAAACAGGAUUAGAUACCCUGGUAGUCCACGCCCUAAACGAUGAAUGUUAGUCGUCGGGACUCUAGUAGUUUCGGUGAUGCAGUUAACACAUUAAACAUUCCGCCUGGGGAGUACGGUCGCAAGAUUAAAACUCAAAGGAAUAGACGGGGACCCGCACAAGUGGUGGAGCAUGUGGUUUAAUUCGAAGAUACGCGAAGAACCUUACCUAGCCUUGACAUAUUUUAGAACUCCGCAGAGAUGUAGAGGUGCCUUCGGGAGCUAAUAUACAGGUGCUGCACGGCUGUCGUCAGCUCGUGUCGUGAGAUGUUGGGUUAAGUCCCGCAACGAGCGCAACCCUCGUUCUUAGUUACUAACGGUUCGGCCGAGGACUCUAAGAAGACUGCCUUCGUAAGGAGGAGGAAGGUGAGGACGACGUCAAGUCAUCAUGGCCCUUACGGCUAGGGCAACACACGUGCUACAAUGGUUAGGACAAUGAGACGCAAUACCGCGAGGUGGAGCAAAUCUAUAAACCUAAUCUCAGUUCGGAUUGUAGUCUGCAACUCGACUACAUGAAGCUGGAAUCACUAGUA
rnacentral:rRNA from 1 species